CUUAGGUGGCGAGUCCAACCAGUCUACUUCACCUAUUCAUCUGCCUGCAGAUUCCAUUUAGGACAGCAGGGGAGAAAAGGUAGGAAAUAUGACUCAAGAGAAUAUUAUUUCAAUCAAAUUCAUAAACAACCAGUGACCAGCUUUACCAAAUCAAGUGAAGCUGCUAACAAACCUAAUAAGGAACACCUGUCAAAACUUUGCAAUGCUUUGUAUAAAACUAAUUUGGGAUGGCAACAUUAAUACCUCCACAUGGAUGGUAAAACUCUUAGCAUUUGCAGUUUCAAAGCUAGCUUCCCCAUGGUUUUACUGCUCAAGUGCUUUAACAACAAAAUUGUGUUAAAAUAUUUCUAUGGGUAAAAGAAAAUUCUAGGUCAGGAUAUUGCUGCAACAGGAAGACAUUUAUUUUAGACUGACCUAAAUAAAUCAAAUCACAGGCAUACCAAUCAAACUCUGCAGAGGAUUUCACAUAGUUGGCAAAUCCAAUCCUAUGCAGAUUUACUCAAAACUAAGACUCACCAAGUUUAAGGAGAGUUACUCCCAAACAAGUAUAUAGGACUGCAAUGUUAAUUCACAAAUGAGUCAAGAUGAGCUGGCAGAGUUUAGGUACAUAGGUUCAAAUAUCCAGAUCACCUAUCAGUUGAUAUCCAAGCACUUUGAGUAAGUGAGUUUGCAUUCAUUCAGUAGCAAUUCUCCCCUCUUUCCCUUUUUGCUCCCAAAUAACUAGGCUUCAUCAGGUAUUAAUGGCAAGAAAAUACAUCCAGAGGCAAAGAGAAAGCAACAUUGAAAAGCUUACCUUAAAGUAAUGAAUUUAGGCUAAAACGUCAGCAAAGGAUUCAAAGAAAACUGCAUAAUAACAGCAAUGUAUUUUCUUUGUCUGAAAUAUGAUUUAUAAAGCCUCCAACUACUCUUUCUGCUUCUUUGUGCCUUUUCUCUUUCCAGUCCAUAAAUGCAGCCAGAAAAAGCAAUGGCCAUUCACAACAACGUCGUGUUUUUGUCCUCCAGUAGUUCCUCCCCUCGAAAAUCUUCUCCCAGGACAGUUGAAGAGAUUUCUUUGUUCUGAUAAGACUUAAUCAUUCUUGAUACAGCUGGACCGCUGAUGGAAAACUGUGCCCCAGAGUUUUGCACAGGCAAACAGCUUUGUAAAUAUAUUCUGCCUGCAGCAAAUUGAAAAGGAAGGAGCAAUGUAUUGCAACGUGGGAGAGUACUUUUAAGUGCACUCCAAUUUCUGAGCAGUAAGAGGUCUCAGAUUCCCAAAGCAUGGCUUGUGUUUGGUAUAACUGGAAAGAAUGUCAUUUUAGACUACCACCACUCCAUGAUAUAAGGAGCAGAAGUAAACGGCAGAGCAGAGACAGAGGAACCAGGUAAAUAAUGAACUCCUUGAUCACCAUGGGAGAGCAGGGUUCAGUGCAUUGUGAUAUCAAAGUUUAAAAUCAAUCAGCAUAAAGCAAUUAUUCCACAAUCCACUACCAGAGUGGUCACAUCAGAAAGAGGGCUUCUGCACUUUUAAUAAGAAGCAGUUUGGGCAGGUGUAACUUAAUUGGGCUCUUUUUCACCUAGCUACCUUACCUGGCAGACCCACAAAACUGAGUUAUUGUUUGAUCUAGAGUACUACUUGAGGUUAUUAGGUCCUCCCUUCUAUAGGGGGGAAAUAACAUAUUCCUUGUGAUUCCUAUCAGGCAGUAAGAAAUCUUCAUUCAGAGUUAGUGGGAUAAUAAACACACACCCAGAAUCACAAAUUAGCAUUGCUUUUCCUGAGAGAGCUAUAUAUGGGCUCUGUCUCUUUCCUGGGCUGUUUCUGAUUGUGCUGGGUAAAAGCAACUCGAGAUCCAGAUGUGUGGUCUCACUGCACUUAAUAUCAGCUGGCCUCUAGUGGUAACUGGCAGUAAAUUAUUCCACAAUGAGCAACAGCCUACCAGUUCUUAACACUUCACUUACCAUAUCUGUAGUAAGGAGGAGGAGAAGAAAAAGAGUUUGGAUUUGUUAUCCCACUUUAUCACUACCCAAAGGAGUCUCAAAGCCGCUAACAAUCUCCUUUCCCUUCCUCCUGUGAGGUGAGUGAGGCUGACAGACUUCAGAGAAGUGUGACUAGCCCAAGGUCACCCAGCAGCUGCAUGUGGAAGAGCGGAGACAUGAACCCGGUUCACCAUAUUAUGAGUCCACCGCUCUUAACCACUACACCACACUGGCUCAUCAGCAAAAUAUGCACCUAGGGCAGAUUUGUCAUGUACCAAUAGAUCUUAACUGUCCCCCAAAGGGGGGGGGGGACUGAUUCUACUCCUCUUUUUAUUUCCAAGAUUUAGUUUUGCUGCCAUCACCCUGCCUUCCAUCUGGAGCAAAGCGGUGGUAGAAAAUCCAGUUGUGUGGUUAAUCAUUUGUUUCCUAGUCAUUUAUUACCGUAUUGGCCUGAAUAUAAGCCGUACCUGAAUAUAAGCUGCACCUUUAAAAUUCGGGGGGGCGGGGAGAGAAUACCUGAAUAUAAGACGCUCCCUUAAAAUUCCGCAGGCCCUUGCACCCGUUCCGUUUUAAAAGCAGCCCAUAGAUCAAAACCAUAAGGGGAGGGAAACAUAAGGGUCAGACUGAGUCCAAACCAAAGGCCAGGCGGAACAGCUCUGAUUGUAUUGUAUUGCACAUAUACAUAAAACAAAACUCACAAACUUAAACAAACAAGAAAGACUUAUGUAGAGAGAGCAAAAAAAGAAAAGAAUAAAAGCAGAAACUCCAGAAAGGAAGAAAGAAGUAAGAGAUAUAAAUAUAUGCCUUUUUGUAAGUACAUUUAAAUCUUAGAAAGAAAAGAAAAAGAAAAGAAAAAAGGAAGCCUACAUAAAACAACAUUAGUUCAUUCGUCAAUAAACUAAGACAUUUCCAAAAAAAAAGAAACAUAGUGGUUGUCAACUUCCGCCAACUUCAUAACAGUUCAUUAUUUCUAAUUAAAGUCUACCUGUCUGUAUUUCAGUAAAUCCCUCAUCUUGGUAUCAGGGAGUUUUUUCCUUUGCGGCGUUAUUCUAAACACAGCCAGAUCUUAGCUGAUGAACCUUGGUUCAUCAAGUAGUUAUUUAGGUAAUCCCAUUCUUUUUUAACUAUCUUGUUAUACUUAUAUCUUAUAUCUGUCAGCUUCGCGAGUUCCAAGUACUCACACAGUUUACACAACCAUUCUUCUUUGGUGGGUACAGUAUAUGAUCUUCCUUCCAAAACUUAGCCACUACAUGCUACAUAAAGAAAUAGUCUUGUUUUCUUUUUAGGGAUAUUGUUUGUCAAAAUUCCCAAAAGAAAUUAUUCCGGUUUUUUGUUGAAUGUAAUUUUUAAUAACUUUUUCAUCUCCUCAUAGGUCGUGUCCCAGAACUUUCUAAUCUCUGGGCACGCCCACCACAUACGGUAAAAGGUUCCUACUUGAUUUUUGCACCUCCAACAUUUCUUGUUAUAAGUUUUAUUAAUUUUUGCCAGCUUUACAGGGGUCCAAUACCACCCUGUAUUGUGUUUUCAUGAGAUUUUCUCUCAUUAAGUAACAAGCCGUAAAUUUUAUAUUCUUUGUCCAUAGUUCUUUCCAGUUAUCCAAUUCAAUUGUGUGGCCUAUAUCUUGUUCCCAUUUUAUCAUAACAUCUGAAAGAAUUUGUUACAGGGAGGGACUAAGACUCUAAUAUAUACCUGUGUGGUGAUACAAAUCUUGUUGGGCAGUGAAAAAAUGGGCACUUUAAUGUGGUUGGAUGGAUGAGGGGAGCUGGGAGGGGGAGGACCUUUUGACAACCCUGCAAUGUAGUCCGAUUGCAUUUUCCACAUUGGGGUUUUCCCCCCAGGAAAUGCAGCUGACCGCAGCAGCAGCGUGGCAGGGGGAAACGGGGUGAUUAAAUGUGUCCCCCGUCCACUGGAGUAAACAGGAAACUUCUUGUGUAAGAUGGAUUUCAUCAUUAAAAGUCUAUUGGUGUUCUUUUACUGUUUGAUAAUGUCUGCUGCACAAUAUUAUUGAAAUAUUUCAUUGGUGUGUAAGUUUGCUUAAAGUGAGCGUGUGUAAACAUUGUCAAGGCAAAUGUCCACAACCAACAUUAAUCUAGACUUGACCACAGCGGCAACCUGCCAAGAAAUGUUUGCAGUUUAAGGCAAGGGGGAACUGCAGGAAAAAGACAUUAGAAACCUUAAACUGGGCAGAAGAGCAGCGGAUGGAAGCUUUCUUUCAAAAGAGUUGAAAACACUAAGCAAUUUUGAAGGAUUACCUCAGCCCAAAAGGGUGGAGGAAGGAAAGAGUAGCCAGACAGCAACACAGUGUUGCUCUGGGACAGGAUAAGUUCCAAAAAACCCCACUUCUUUUAAAAGUCUUGUAGGGAACAUCCAGCUGUUGGAAGUCCAGGCAGUAUAGGUCAGAAAAACACACAAUAAACAUCUUGUUAUUCACUUAUUGGCAGAAUUUUGUUCACAUAUCACAGUCAGUGCUGGGACGAUGAAAGAAGCCCUCCAGACCUUGGACUCUAGCUCCCUUCAGCCAAGCCGGUGGUCAGGGAUGAUGGGAGUUGUAGUCCAGCAACAUUUUUAGGGCCUCAGAUCUCCCACUAUAGCUUUUGCGGUGGGCACCAUCUUAACAUCAAAUCUUUUUUACUUGUUAAUCAGUCAAUCAAUCUUUCAAUUUGUGCCAAAGUGCGUUUCUAUUAAAAAAAUUUUUUAGCAAGAUACAAUUUGAAAGAGAGAAUAUUAAGAAUGCUAUAAUGCUACAGUGCCUAGUGGAAUGAGUGGGAGGGCCAACCAAUCCAGGAAUUCACUCCUUUACUGCAGGAAAAUAAUCAUACUUACAAAAAAUAAAAAUAAAAUAAGGUGGUACUUCCAGGAGGUCCCACAAUGGCUAACAGAGGAAACCAUUGCCAAAGCAUAAGAGCAAACAGAACACAAUGCAGAGAAAUGUUCACCAGAGCUAAUCCACACCAAUAUGCAAAAGUCCUGAGACCCACAACUGAGAGUGAGUUUUUAUCCAGCAAAGAAAAUGAAAAGAGAUGGUUUUACCCAGUGCUUUUUUUUAAUUAAAAAAAAAUGUUAUGGGGUACUCUCAUUUUCCUACUCAUAUUGAUAUACUGCUCCUCAAUGAGGCCAAACUUAAAUUCACAAAACAUUUACGGGUAUGCAUACCCCUGUGUACCCCCAGAAAAAAGCACUGGUUUUACCUUUCAGUAUUCCAUCUAAUUAAACGGUCACAGGUACAGUCAAACCUCGGUUCCCAAACGCCUCCGUUAUCGUAUGUUUUUUCUUCCAAAUGCUGGAAACCCGGAAAUAACUGCUCUGGUUUCCGAACAAUUUUUGGAAGCCAAACAGCUUCUGGGGAGUUUUCUUUUUUCUUUUUUCCUCCACUGACUUUGCUAACCGCCUUUUGAUACUCAGUUGUCGAACAUUUCAGAAGUCGAACAGUCUUCCGGAAUGGAUUACGUUCGACAACCGAGGUUUGACUGUAUAAUAUAUGCCAAGAUACACAAAGCUUAUACCAUGCAUCAAUAUUCGCAAUAAUUUCCUUUUCCUUUUUUUUUACCCCUGACUCUUAUGACCAUUUCUUCCUUCCUGCUCCUAGUGCAUUUUUUCACUUCUCCAAGUUCUUUAUCUUUGAUCCCAUUCCAUUCUUUAAGGUUCAACAUCAUCAUUAAGCAUGUUAUUCCAGAACAUUACAUGGAAUUGUAGUGUUUUUCCAUAUGCUUAUUGGGUUGGUUUCUGCAUAUUCUUUUCUAAUAUGUUAACUUAAUCUGUGUUACAGUAAGACCAUAUUUUUCUCUAUCCACUCAGAUUCUGUUAAGAAAGUCAAUGUGAGUGGGAGGUGGAUAACAUAUUAAGAAGAAAGUCAAUGUGAGUGGGGGGGUGGAUAACAUAUGGGAAAUUAAUAGUCAAAGAAACGGGUAAAUGGAAAUUGAAACCAUAUGAUGAAGUGAAAGAAUAUGUUAAUGAUUAGCUGCAUUAUUAUCAGGUUAAUGAAAUGUUUAAAAAAGAUGUUAAAGAAAAAGGUUUGGGGGGAAAGAGUCGAAGUUUCAAUUAGAAAUAUUGAACAAUGACUUAAAAUUUUUAUCUAAAAUGUAUAAAUUGCUGCUUGAAUGGCAUACUAAAGAUUAAAUCGGUUAUGAUUCACUGGGCCAAGGACUUUGGACAUAAUAUACAGUUAAAUGAUCGGACAAAACUAUGGAAUGAAGGUCUCAAAUGUACUGCAUGUACUGCGUUAAAAGAGAAUGUGAUAAAAAUGAUUUAUAGAUGGUAUAUUACACCAGUAAAAUUAGCAAAAAUGUAUAAAGUGAGUAACAAGUGUUGGAAAUGUAAGGAAAAAGAGGGAACAUGUUAUCAUAUGUGGUGGGAGUGCAAAAAGGUGAAAUGCUUCUGGGAGAUGAUAUAUAAUGAAUUGAAAAAAAUGUUGAAAUAUACAUUUGUAAAGAAACCAGAAGCAUUUCUGAUAGGUAUUAUGGGAAAUGAAAUAAAUAAAAAAGAAUGUAAGCUCUUUUUGUAUGCAGUAACAGCAGCAAGGAUACUAUUGGCACAAAAAUGGAAACAGGAAGAAUUACCAACGAUAGAAGAAUGGAGAAUGAAAUUAAUGGACUAUGCAAAACUUGAUAAAUUAACAGGAAAGAUCCGAAACCAGCGGGACCAGAAGUUCACCGAAGACUGGAGUAAAUUUGUAGAUUAUAUGAAAAGUAUAUGCGAUGAUCAAACAACGUUUGUUGGCUUGCAGGAAGCUCUAUGAAGAAUUAAUAUUAGAAAUAUUGCAAAAAAGGGAAAAGGAGAGAGGAGAGGUUAUUAAUUUAAGGCAAUAUAAAAUUAGGAAAUGCGUAAGAAAUGAUUAAAAAUGGAGGAUUAUCAGAAGAGUUGAGGGAAGUCCAAAAAGAAUGUAUUUAUGAGAAAAUGUGUAUGAUGUUUUUAUAAUUUUGUAUUGUAAAAUCAAUAAAAAUAUUUUUUUUAAAAAAAGAAUUUUCUGACAUUAGUUUAAACGGGACAUUGUCCCAAAUCCAUUUCCAUUCUUCCCUCAGUAUUACAUCUGAUAAUUCUUUCUCCCAUUUUUUUUUUCCAUGUAUGCAUCUGGAAUCUGAUCUAAGCUCGAUCAUAAAAUUUCGCAAGGGUUUCUUUAUCUAUAUGACUGGUGAACAAAAUUUCACACUUAUUCUCUUUUCUUAAAGAGAUGUGUUUAUGAAUUAAAACUUGCUACUCUAAUCUAAAAAUACUAAAAAAAGCAGGGCUCUUCUUUCUUCCAAAGUUGUUAGAACCUCUUCAGAUGUCAAGUCAACCUGACCCUCAAGUAACAUCUUUAUAAACUCUCUGAUUAAUUGUGGUUCUUGAAUCAAAUAUUCAUUAUAAUAUAGGGCCGUUGAAAGUGAUAAUCCAAUAAACAUUUAGAUGGGUGGAAACUGCUGGAAAAAUGAAAUUAGAACCUUAUACUGCACAUAGCCAUUCAGUUAGAGCUGUGGGUGGAAGGUUUUUGGGGGUUUUUUAUGACUGAGUUGAAAACUUUUUUCUUUUCUUGCCUCAACCAGAAGGGUGGAGGGAAGAAAGAGUAGCCAGCCCACCUCCAUAUGGUGUUGCUCUGGGACAGGAUGAGAAAAGUGGAAGGCAAACAAAACAAAACUCCUCUAGGGAACAUCCUGUUGUUUGAAGUCCAGACGGGCAGUAUAGGUCAGUCAGAGAGAUAUACAAUAAAUAUUUUGUUCUUUGAUCGGAGCUGUUUUAUGUGGAGGUUGAAGCUGGGACAAUAGAACAAGCUUCCUAUAAAACAAGGCGAGGGAAGUGAGGCAGUGUGGUGUACUGGUUAGAGCAUUGGACUAGGACCUAGGAGAGGUAGGUAAAGGGACCCCUGACCAUUAGGUCCAGUCGUGACCGACUCUGGGGUUGUGGCACUCAUCUUGCUUUAUUGGCCGAGGGAGCCAGCGUACAGCUUCCGGGUCAUGCGGCCAACAUGACUAAGCCGCUUCUGGCGAACCUGAGCAGUGCACGGAAACACCGUUUACCUUCCCGCCGGAGCAGUACCUAUUUAUCUACUUGCACUUUGACGUGCUUUUGAACUGCUAGGUUGGCAGGAGCAGGGACCGAGCAACGGGAGCUCAUCCCGUCGUGGGGAUUCAAACUGCCAACCUUCUGAUCGGCAAGUCCUAGGCUCUGUGGUUUAACCCACAGUGCCACCCGCAUCCCUUAGGACCUAGGAGAGACCAGGGUUCAAAUCCCCACCAGGGCAUGAAGCUCACUGGGUGAUCUUAAGCCAGUCUCUCUCUCUCUCUCUCUCUCCCCUACCUCAAAGGAUUGUUGUGAGGAUUAAAGGGGGAGGAGGAGAAUCAAUUCUCCAAAGGAACACAGACCCUGUGUGGGUGCCUGGAAACUCUUGCUACCACUUGACAAAGCGAAGGGCAGACGUUUGUAACAAUAUUUUUUUGGUGCACUUUUGAAGAAUAGAAGAAGAAGAAGAAGAAGAAGAAGAAGAAGAAGAAGAGGAGGAGUUUGGAUUUGAUAUCCUGCUUUAUCACUACCCUAAGGAGUCUCAAAGCGGCUAACAAUCUCCUUUCCCUUCCUCCCCCACAACAAACACUCUGUGAGGUGAGUGAGGCUGAGAGACUUCAAAGAAGUGUGACUAGCCCAAGGUCACCCAGCAGCUGCAUGUGGAGGAGCAGAGAAUCGAACCCGGUUCACCAGAUUAUGAGUCUACCGCUCUUAACCACUACACCACACUGGCUUUCCCACCUCUCUGUUUUAUCCCUGGCAUUAGUGUUUUCCAUUCAUUCUCCCCCUCCCACCCCAACCUCCAUUUCCUUUAUGGUUAGCGUUUCUCUGGCCUUAUCCCCAGAUGAAAAUGGUGCGUCAAAGACAAUGUUAGUUUUAAGAACAUAAGAAAGGUCCUCUAGUCCAUUUAAGGGCACCUGCCAUGUGCUCAGGAGGAAUUAUGCAACCGUGGGAGUUGGGACAGGAAUUCAGCAUUUCCUGUUUUGAUUUAUAAAUCUAUUCUGUCCCUAUGGAGGUGUUUUGGGACUGGUUUUUGUUUUGUUUUCCGAGAUGCACAAUGUUCAGUCCUCAACUCCAAACUCUGGAUAUAAAUCUCACAUUGCUGCCAAUUUACAUCAGCUGGAUAGGAAGAGGUUUUGUCAUUUGGAAUCAUUACAAAAGUUUCUUUCAUCGAUUGCUAGUAUGGGUGGAGAACCACCCUCCAGCUUUGUUGUGCUACUGAUCCCCCUGAAGGGAGAGGAGAGAUGAUCGACCAUCCCUGGAGGACACUGGGCCCACCCACCAUUGAUUUGGAACAUCUGGCCUCAGCACCAGACUUCUGGGUGGGGUGGGAAGGCUAAAGGGGGGAAAUUGUUGGUUUGGUGUGAAUGGUUUGGGGACAAAUUAUUGUUCUGUUUAUUAUGUGAGUAUGUUUUGAAAUGACUGUUACUAUAUUAUAUAAAAUAUUACAGAUCCUCCAAGUGUCCCUAUUUUCCAGGGACAGACCUGGAUUUACAGAAGCCGUCCUCGUUUCUGAUUGCACCCCGGAAUGCCCUGCUUUUCCUUAGGACAUGCCG